rnacentral:rRNA from 1 species
CUAUCAGGAUCUAGUACGGCGAGUGAGAGGGAAAGCCCAAAUUUGUAAUCUGGCUCUUUUUAAGGGAGUCUGAGUUGUAAUUUUGAGAACUGUUUUCAAUGCUGGACCAUGUACAAGUCUGUUGAAAAACAGCAUCAUUGAGGGUGAUAAUCCCGUUCAUGAUAUGGACUACCAAGUGUGAUAUGAUACAGUCUCUAAGAGUCGAGUUGUUUGGGAAUGCAGCUCAAAAAGGGUGGUAAAUUCCAUCUAAGGCUAAAUAUUGGUAAGAGACCGAUAGCAAACAAGUACCGUGAGGGAAAGAUGAAAAGAACUUUGGAAAGAGAGUUAACAGUACGUGAAAUUGUUAAAAGGGAAACAAUUGAAGUUAGUCUUGUUAUUAUUGGUUCAACUUUUUUUUAAAGUGUAUUCUGAUUUUUAACAGAUCAACAUCAAUUCUUGGGUGUUGGAUAAGGGUCUUGAGAAAUGUAGCAGCUUUUUUUGCUGUGUUAUAGUCUGAAACUUUGAUACAGUGCCUAGGAUUGAGGAAUGCAGUGAGCCUUGUAUAAAGGUGGAUUAAAUUCUUCUCACUGAGGAUGUUGAUGCAAUAGCUUUAAAUGACCCGUCUUAA